AUUGAACGCUGACGGCAGGCUUAACACAUGCAAGUCGAGCGGAGUGAUGGUGCUUGCACUAUCACUUAGCGGCGGACGGGUGAGUAAUGCUUAGGAAUCUGCCUAUUAGUGGGGGACAACAUCUCGAAAGGGAUGCUAAUACCGCAUACGUCCUACGGGAGAAAGCAGGGGAUCACUUGUGACCUUGCGCUAAUAGAUGAGCCUAAGUCGGAUUAGCUAGUUGGUGGGGUAAAGGCCUACCAAGGCGACGAUCUGUAGCGGGUCUGAGAGGAUGAUCCGCCACACUGGGACUGAGACACGGCCCAGACUCCUACGGGAGGCAGCAGUGGGGAAUAUUGGACAAUGGGGGGAACCCUGAUCCAGCCAUGCCGCGUGUGUGAAGAAGGCCUUAUGGUUGUAAAGCACUUUAAGCGAGGAGGAGGCUCUUCUGGUUAAUACCCAGGAUGAGUGGACGUUACUCGCAGAAUAAGCACCGGCUAACUCUGUGCCAGCCGCCGCGGUAAAAC
rnacentral:rRNA from 1 species